CCGGACUGGCUCAGUGCACGACUUAUCAGAAACUUACCCGUAUCUAACACACAAUAGAUUCGUGCACAUCUGUUGAAUAAAGAAGAGUUUGUUUUUCGUGUUUGAACCGUGUCUGCUUCAAUAACGCUUCCUGCAGUGGUCCUUUUUAGGAGGGGUACAGUGAGUGGUAUACUGCGAGGGAAGCGGGACAAGGAGGCAAAGGGAAGGGAAACAGGCGGGCCCAGAGAGCAGCUUCCGAGUGACCUGGAAAAUCAGCGCCCAGAACUCAUCUAGACACAGAGGCUCGGUGCCAUGGCAUUCCGCGCUGACUGCCAGAACCGCGGGCCGCGGAGCCAGCACUGUGCCGGCAACGUGGUGGGGCGAAUGCCCUGGGGUCGGAGAGGUGGAAAGGCCCGAAAGGAAGAGCC
rnacentral:lncRNA from 1 species